AAUCAGCCCAGUCAGAUUUUGGUAUUUCAUGGGUGUGCCAGCUACUGCUGCAGUGCAUGAAAGCAGAAUUUUACACCAUAAUUGCGAUACAGGUCUAUUAUAUGGUUCCAGAGUGUGAAUUUACAGGGAAAAGGAGGAACUUAAUAGGCUGGAAAUCCCUCACUUCACUGCCUUAUGCAGCGCACACACACUAGGACUCAAGCCUAUUCUAUCGCAAUCCUACCGUGACCACGGGCAGCUCUGAUCCACAUCAGAAAUCAACAGAAAUACCACUGUUCUAUGACCUGAUGGUACAGUAGAAGAAUGCAAAUGGAUCCCAUCACCAGAACUCAUGUUUUAAUUGAAAGUCUUCCCCAGAGAUUCUAGUCUCUGUGUUUGGAUAUUCUUUUUUUAAGCUUUCACUCCAAUUUGCAUGUCGCCUGUUUCAUUUCUACUUGGCAGAAAGCCAGCUGGAGGAGUAUCUCUGCACUGCAGUGAAAAGCUGCAGCUCUGGAAAGCUACCAUGUCAAAAAUAAGCAGCAAGACUGAAUCACCUGAAAACAGAAGGAAGAACCACCAGGAAGCAAUGAAGUCCUGACCUUCUCACUGCCAUGCAAUGGAGGAGAGAGAAGGUGAAUGAUGCUGCCAAGCCUUGGAAUCUCUAGCACUGAUGGCUUUCAUGAUUUAUUGUGGGUAUUGCAGCAACUCAACACCAGGCAUUUAAAAAUCUCCGUGGAUUUCUCUAUUGAAGUAACUAAAUUCUAAACUAAACUAAAAACAAAACCAA